UUUAAUCUGCUUAGCAUCGGUUCUAGUGGGGAGCAGCCGCUAGAAGAAAUGGGGAAAGCGCAGUGAAAAUCUGCCACUGUCCCGCAGCUGUGAAGGGAGUUUUAUACUUCCCAGUCAGAAUGCCCGCCGAUGGUGAACCUACCGU
rnacentral:ncRNA from 2 species